rnacentral:rRNA from 1 species
GAUGAACGCUAGCGGCAGGCUUAAUACAUGCAAGUCGAGGGGCAGCAUGGUGUAGCAAUACACUGAUGGCGACCGGCAAACGGGUGCGGAACACGUACACAACCUCCCUUCAAGCGGGGCAUAGCCCAGAGAAAUUUGGAUUAAUACCCCAUAGAAUAUUGGAAAGGCAUCUUUUUGAUAUUAAAGAUUUAUCACUUGAAGAUGGGUGUGCGGCUGAUUAGGUAGUUGGCGGGGCAACGGCCCACCAAGCCUUCGAUCAGUAACUGGUGUGAGAGCACGACCAGUCACACGGGCACUGAGACACGGGCCCGACUCCUACGGGAGGCAGCAGUAAGGAAUAUUGGUCAAUGGACGAAAGUCUGAACCAGCCAUGCCGCGUGGAGGAUGAAGGUCCUCUGGAUUGUAAACUUCUUUUAUAUGGGACGAAAAAGGGGCUUUCUAGCUCAACUGACGGUACCAUAUGAAUAAGCACCGGCUAACUCCGUGCCAGCAGCCGCCGCUGUAA